GUGCUUGCUUUGGCAGCACAUACACUAAAAUCAGAAUGACACUGAGAAGUUUGGCACGGCCCCUGUGCAAGGAUGACACGAAAAUUCAUGAAGCGUUCCACAUUAAA
rnacentral:snRNA from 1 species